AGAGUGAACGCUGGCGGUAGGCCUAACACAUGCAAGUCGAACGGCAGCACAGUGGUAGCAAUACCAUGGGUGGCGAGUGGCGGACGGGUGAGGAAUACAUCGGAAUCUACCUUUUCGUGGGGGAUAACGUAGGGAAACUUACGCUAAUACCGCAUACGCCCUUCGGGGGAAAGCCGGGGAUCGCAAGACCUGGCGCGGAUAGAUGAGCCGAUGUCGGAUUAGCUAGUUGGUGAGGUAAUGGCUCACCAAGGCGACGAUCCGUAGCUGGUCUGAGAGGAUGAUCAGCCACACUGGAACUGAGACACGGUCCAGACCUCCUACGGGAGGCAGCAGGUAGGGGAAUAUUAGGACAAGUGGGACGCAAGCCUAGA
rnacentral:rRNA from 1 species